rnacentral:rRNA from 1 species
AUUGAACGCUGGCGGGAGGCCUAACACAUGCAAGUCGAGCGAGUGGCGGACGGGUGAGUAAUGUAUGGGGAUCUGCCUGAUGGCGGGGGAUAACUACUGGAAACGGUAGCUAAUACCGCAUACCAUCAGAUGAACCCAUAUGGGAUUAGCUAGUAGUUAGGGUAACGGCUUACCUAGGCGACGAUCCCUAGCUGGUCUGAGAGGAUGAUCAGCCACACUGGGACUGCGACACGGCCCAGACUCCUACGGGAGGCAGCAUUGGGGAAUAUUGCACAAUGGGCGCAAGCCUGAUGCAGCCAUGCCGCGUGUAUGAAGAAGGCCUUCGGGUUGUAAAGUACUUUCAGUCGGGAGGCGUUACCGACAGAAGAAGCACCGGCUAACUCCGUGCCAGCAGCCGCGGUAAUUC